rnacentral:lncRNA from 1 species
GCCUGCUCCACACCUGGGUCUGACCAGGGUGAGUGGAUCUUUUGGAACCUAGACAGAGCACAACUGAAAGGGUUGACUGAACUCCCACAAAGAUGUCCUGCACCAGUCUCAUGCAUCUCGUUCAUCAGUGCCUUUCAUCCCUUCAAGAGCUCUUGCCUCAGAGCAUUGCUAUGCCUGAGGUGUGUCUCAGAAGCAGCCAUUGGCACAGUGACUUGGGGCUGGGCUCAAAAUUUGCUCUCUUGAAGUUUGGACGUGAUUGCUCUGAACAAGCUGCUUUGCCACAAUAAAUAUUUUCAAGUUU